CCGCCCCCAGUCUCCCCGUCUCGCCAGCCGCUCGCUGGGGACUGAGAGAUGGGAGAUGUGUGUUGACAGUGCUAUAUGGAGUGGAGGUUCAGGGAGCCAGAGCCACACCGGACUCACUCCACACUGGGCUGGACCGGCCGCACGCACCCCGAGGUGCACUCUGCGGCUUCCUCUGCCCGGACUUUCUUCUCUUACAGAUGGAUGGAUCACCCUGCUUCAUCUCAGAGAGUCCCAGACAGUAGGGGAGAAAGAAUAAAGAGAGAGACAAGGGUGAGAGGGCAGCAUGUACGACAAAGAACCGCAGCUGCCGUUUCGUCUCCUGAAAAGGCAGGUGAAAAUGACGCAAUGACAUCUGGGCUCAGGUAACAUGAACACCGAUAGCUUUGAAAACCAAUCCAGAGCUUGAGAUGUGUGCAACAACUUUAAUUCCACUCAUUCUGAUGGGCUUCUUGAAAAUGUUUCAUGUGUGUGUGUUUCUGUGUUUCUGUUGUUUCUGUUGUUCCACAUUAUGAUUUGAACCAAGUCCAGACAACGAAUGGAGAGUAAUUGACACUGUGGUUGCCUUGGAUGGUAAACAUCAAAGUGAGGAGACACAACGCAUGUGUGAGCGUGGGAAUGUGCCCGGGUUUUCAUCGCAUGCUGUUGGUCGCUAUAAACGUAAACGUCAUCUUUGCCCUCAUCGACGUGGAUAGAUGGAUGGAGGAGGGGGGGGGGCAUUGGCAGCGACACAUCGUGAUACCGAAGUGUCUCACGAUGUACAUUGAUGGAUACACGGAUACACUGAUGUCACGCCAGCAGUUUAUACUCUGAAAGACGACCCCUUGCUUGUCCCGAGGCUUGAGAAGCUGAAUACAAACGGGUGGGGGGGUAGGGUAGUGUUGUAAUCUAAAAAAGAAAGCUGAUAGCGUCAUAUUCAGGUUUGUACCCUACACCAACCCCCCCCCUAUUCAAACGUGUUUGAGCGUUAACUAGUGCAGAUGUUCAAUAGUGAGGAGUCCUUUUAUAAAGAGCUCUUUGGAAGCUACGAGACCCCAUGGAUGAAAAAUGAAUAUUUAUCCUUAAAUAGGUCCUGCACAAUUACUUUGAAAUGCAUCAAAGUGGCACCGUGUUCGAUGUAGAGCCUUAAUCAUUGUCAUAUUAACACCUGUAGCCUACAUAGGUCUCACCUCCCACCUCACUGUGACGAUCGUCAUGACUGCUCUUCCAGUCCAGCCCCGUCGAGGAGAAUCUUGUGAAGACGCAGAGCUUAGCUCAUUAGUGAGCACCGAGGCAAACCCUUUUGUUCACAGUGGCUAAGUUCAGUGUCUGACAUGAAAAGAAUGAGUUCCGGCGUUCCGGCACAUUACCCCUCUGACCCCACCCUUCUAGGUAGAAGAGGAAGAAGAAAUAGAAGACGAGGAGGAGGAGAAGGUGCAUGAAGGGGCAGACCACCUGCUGAAUGUAUAGGAAUGUCUUUUUUUUCCUUCUUGCACGUGCAGACAUGUAUCUGCAUGCAACAAAUGUGUGAUCACUGUGCCCAGUUGCCCACCAUGAAUUCAAAAUGUUAUCGAUAAAUUAGCCAAUAUACAGUUCAAUGAAUUAAGAUGUAAAGGGGUGAUGACUUAUUUAUCAUUAUUCAGAAUCAUUUAUUAUAUCUGUAUUUUGUAUUUGCCAAAUGAACUGUUCAUAUGGGUUAGGGCAGAGGUCUUCAACAGGGGGUCCGUGGAGGUACUGCAGGGGGGUCGCGAAAGUUUUGGUUGAUUCGACUUUUUUUAUAUAUUCCCCCCAUUUUUUCCACAAAUUGAAAUGUUUUUAAAUACACAUUAACAUGAAUCAAACACACUAGCCACGAUUACAUGGACACUUUUGAUCCGAUUUCUAAUAGAUCUAUUCCUAUCAUGCGAUCCGAAUGUAGGCCUACUAUAUGGCAUUUACAAAAGUGGUAAGCGCACAUCUGGAGUGGCUGCGACAUUUUUAUGUAUCUGAUUUUAAUUAAAGCCUAGCAGGAGAGAGCUUUUCUCUGCCUGCUCCUUCAAUUACGAAGAAGGACAGCACAGCGUCGUAAGUUUCUCGUCCGGUCUUUAUAUCUACCCCCUCCUCCGCCGGCGCAAAAAAUACGUAUGGAUAAGAGUGCGCAGCCAAGACUGUUGGGAGAGAGAGAGAGAGAGAGGGAGAGAGAGUGCUGUUAUGUAAGGGAUAGAACGCCGGUCCUUAUCCGGAAAAUAAGUGAUAAGCAGAGAAAUAGUCUGCCAAAGACGUUGACGUCGCUUAGCAACCAGACACGCUGGGGUUGAUAAAUUACCGGACUACUCCCGGAGUAUUAAGAAAGAGACUAACAAACAUCCCUUAUUUUCGUUUUUUUGCAAUUGACAGACAAUGUUGAUCUUGGCAGGUAUCAGUUUAUUAUGUUAUGUUAUGUUAUGUUAUGUUUAUGAGUGGCAGUGGCAUGGCCACCCUACUCACUGUACGUUGCACAUGUUAAAAUGAAAACAUGAAUAGAUGAACCUGUGUAUUAUUUGAAUAUCUUAGUAUUGAAUGCAAAAUAACAAGGUACAUAGCACUAUGGGACCAGUUUAACACAAUUUGGUACAAUAUAUAAGUAGGGGGUCCCCGCUCCAUCUCUCCAUCAGUUUGGGGGUCCUUGGCCUGGAAAACGUUGAAGACCCUGGGUUAGGGUUUAUGUACUCCUGUGCCUACUGUACUGGAAUCAGUGUGACCAUGAAACUGGCUCAGUCCAGCAGGGACAGCAGUGAGACCCGAUUUCUGGACCAAUGCCGUUGUUCAUAACAUCAUCACCAAAGACGUCAUUUAAAAUUAUAAAAAAAAGUUAAAAGUUAAAAGCUCUGAUUGAACUGUCAUAAACCACAAUGCUUUACAACCGCACUGCUGAAUAUAUUAUUCUUUGACUCUGGAUGCAUUGCAAAUGGGAUGGUGUGGUCUCUGCAGUAUUUGUUAUUUAUCCUGUGGUUGUGUAUGUCAAUCUGUCUGCCUCUUUCUUUUUCCCAAAUGGGUCCUCUCUCAUAUAGCUAUAAAAAAUUUGAGAUUAAAAUCCCUGC
ensembl:lncRNA